rnacentral:lncRNA from 1 species
UAUCCAAGUGACCCCUCAAAAUCCCUCUUUAUAGUCAUGUUUUGACAGCAGCUAAAACAUGAUGUCAGCCUUUGAUUACCUGGCUUGGGGGUAAGCUAACUUUCCCUCCAACCUGCAGUGACAUCCUGCUAAGGAUGCAGAGGCUAGCCCUGUACCCUGCCCUGCCUGCUGUGCAUGCUGCUGGACCAUCUGUCAGUGGAGCUCUCAGACCCUAUUCUUGAAGCACUCUAAACACCUGAGGAGACAAUGUUUUGAGCAGACACUUGCUGUAUUUGCGCACAGUACUGCAUGUCUUCUCUCUGUCACUCUGGACAUACAUGGCUCAUGCAACAGAUCAGAAAUUAGGUAAGCAAAGAUAUAAAGUUAUUCUGCUUGUGCAGAAUGGAUAAUGAGAGUAAUGCAAUUAACAGUAUUAAUGUUAAUAACUAGAUAUCUGCUAUUAGCAGUCUCCCACCUUGAUCAUUUAUUAAACAGUGACACCAAAUUUAGACGUCAAAACAGU